GAGCGGAUGACGGGAGCUUGCUCCUGAAUUCAGCGGCGGACGGGUGAGUAAUGCCUAGGAAUCUGCCUGGUAGUGGGGGACAACGUCUCGAAAGGGACGCUAAUACCGCAUACGUCCUACGGGAGAAAGUGGGGGAUCUUCGGACCUCACGCUAUCAGAUGAGCCUAGGUCGGAUUAGCUAGUUGGUGAGGUAAUGGCUCACCAAGGCGACGAUCCGUAACUGGUCUGAGAGGAUGAUCAGUCACACUGGAACUGAGACACGGUCCAGACUCCUACGGGAGGCAGCAGUGGGGAAUAUUGGACAAUGGGCGAAAGCCUGAUCCAGCCAUGCCGCGUGUGUGAAGAAGGUCUUCGGAUUGUAAAGCACUUUAAGUUGGGAGGAAGGGCAUUAACCUAAUACGUUGAUGUNUUGACGUUACCGACAGAAUAAGCACCGGCUAACUCUGUG
rnacentral:rRNA from 1 species